rnacentral:rRNA from 1 species
GAGUUUGAUCUUGGCUCAGAUUGAACGCUGGCGGCAGGCCUAACACAUGCAAGUCGAGCGGUAGAGAGAAGCUUGCUUCUCUUGAGAGGCGGCGGACGGGUGAGUAAUGCCUAGGAAUCUGCCUGGUAGUGGGGGAUAACGCUCGGAAACGGACGCUAAUACCGCAUACGUCCUACGGGAGAAAGCAGGGGACCUUCGGGCCUUGCGCUAUCAGAUGAGCCUAGGUCGGAUUAGCUAGUUGGUGAGGUAAUGGCUCACCAAGGCGACGAUCCGUAACUGGUCUGAGAGGAUGAUCAGUCACACUGGAACUGAGACACGGUCCAGACUCCUACGGGAGGCAGCAGUGGGGAAUAUUGGACAAUGGGCGAAAGCCUGAUCCAGCCAUGCCGCGUGUGUGAAGAAGGUCUUCGGAUUGUAAAGCAC